rnacentral:lncRNA from 1 species
GAGUACAUCCUGCCCACGAGAGGGUAAAUGAGAGUGACAGAGUAAUAAAAAAUAGAGAAAGAGAGAGAGUGAGAACAUAGAGAGAGGGAGACAGGCACAGAAUCUGCACAUCCUCACAACCAGCACACCUUUACCAUUCACAGCCGAACUCAAGACUGAGCUGAGAAACCAAAAAAGCCACUGCUCAUCUGUAUCACAUUAUCACAGAAUGCUGCUCUAUCUUCUGUUCUGGAUGAGUCUAUUUCUGUUGAUUACAAACUGUGAAAGAGGAUUUUAUGGGAAUCAUUACGGCGAGUGGAAUGAUUCGAAACUGCAGCCCACCAUACAGAGGCUGAUGAAAGGCUACAAUCGAUACCUAAGGCCAAACUUUAACCGUGAGGCUAAUUAAAUAAUUAAUGGAGAAUUAAAACACAUACAGUUAUUUAAA